AUUGAACGCUGGCGGCAUGCCUUACACAUGCAAGUCGAACGGUAACGCGGGGCAACCUGGCGACGAGUGGCGAACGGGUGAGUAAUGUAUCGGAACGUGCCCAGGUGUGGGGGAUAACUGCUCGAAAGAGCAGCUAAUACCGCAUACGACCUGAGGGUGAAAGCGGGGGAUCGCAAGACCUCGCGCAAUUGGAGCGGCCGAUAUCAGAUUAGGUAGUUGGUGGGGUAAAGGCUCACCAAGCCAACGAUCUGUAGCUGGUCUGAGAGGACGACCAGCCACACUGGGACUGAGACACGGCCCAGACUCCUACGGGAGGCAGCAGUGGGGAAUUUUGGACAAUGGACGCAAGUCUGAUCCAGCCAUGCCGCGUGCGGGAAGAAGGCCUUCGGGUUGUAAACCGCUUUUGUCAGGGAAGAAACGCUCUGGGUUAAUACCUCGGGGUAAUGACGGUACCUGAAGAAUAAGCACCGGCUAACUACGUGCCAGCCGCCGCAGUAAUAC
rnacentral:rRNA from 1 species